AUACGUAGGCAGCGAGCGUUGUUCGGAGUUACUGGGCGUAAAGCGUGCGUAGGCGGUUCCGCAAGUUCGGUGUGAAAUAUCCCGGCUCAACUGGGAGGGUGCGCCGAAAACUGCGGAGCUUGAGCGUGGGAGAGGGAAGCGGAAUUCCUGGUGUAGCGGUGAAAUGCGUAGAUAUCAGGAGGAACACCGGUGGUGUAGACGGCUUCCUGGACCACUGCUGACGCUGAGGCACGAAAGCGUGGGGAGCAAACAGGAUUAGAAACCCCAGUAGUCC
rnacentral:rRNA from 1 species